rnacentral:rRNA from 1 species
CAAUAGCGUAUAUUUAAGUUGUUGCAGUUAAAAAGCUCGUAGUCGGAUUUUGGCUGAGAACGAACGGUCCGCCGUUAGGUGUGCACUGUUUGGUCCCAGCUUCCUGGUGAGGAGGUGUGCUUCACGGCCACUUAGUCACCGUGGUUACUUUGAAAAAAUUAGAGUGUUCAAAGCGGGCUUACGCUUGAAUAUAUUAGCAUGGAAUAACACCAUAGGACUCCUGUCCUAUUUCGUUGGUCUCGGGACGGGAGUAAUGAUUAAGAGGAACAGUUGGGGGCAUUCGUAUUUCAUUGUCAGAGGUGAAAUUCUUGGAUUUAUGAAAGACGAACUCCUGCGAAAGCAUUUGCCAAGGAUGUUUUCAUUG